GCGGCGGCGGCGGGGCUGUCACUGAGGGAUCGCACCGCUCUCCGCGGCGGAGGGGAAGCCGCGGCGGCCGCGGCAGCAGCGGCAGAGGCAGAAAUGGACUCGCACUGCGACUGUGCCGAGCCCCCGGCCGCCGAGCAGCCGUCGGGGAGGAUUAACAAAACCGCCUUCAAGCUUUUCAGGAGAAGGAAGUCCGGGGGAACCAUGCCGAGCAUCUUCGGGGUGCGGAGCCGAGGCGGGGAGGGGAAGGACGCCGGCAAGCCGGGGAUGGUGCGGAGCCGGACGCACGACGGCUUGGCCGACGCGGUGCUGGAGAGCAGCAAGAAGGAGGAACCGAGCGGCGGCGAGGCGCAGGGCCGCGAGGUGCGGGAGCGGCCGGCCGGCAGCCUCGGCGGCCCCGCCAGCAGCGCGGUGGCCAAGUCGCACAGCUUCUUCUCGCUGCUGAGGAAGAACGGCAGGCAGGCGGAGGGAGCGGAGCCGCGGGCCGGCGGCAGACAAAAGAAGGGGCUGAAGGGGAUCUUCAGCAGCAUGCGAUGGCACAAAAAGGACAAAAACGGCAAGGAGGAGAGGGGGGAAACCUCGGACAUCCCGUCCGGCCUUAUCAUGCCGGGGUCCCUGACCGCCAGCCUGGAGUGCAUCAAGGAGGAGCCGCCGAAACCUUUGUCUGAGAGCCCGAGCGGCGCGGGAGACGCCGCGCCGGAGCCGCCGCGGGAGAAGCGCAGCGGCGAGGCGCCCGCCGCGGCCCAGGAGCCCGAAGCGGGCGGAGCGGAGCCGCGGGCCAGCAGCCCCCCGGCCCGGGAGGAGCCGCCCGCCGCAACGCGGCCACCCGAGGAGCUCAGCCGCGAGCGACCGGAGCCGGCCGCCGGAGAGGUUGGGACCGCGAAGGAUGCGGCGAUAACAGGUGACAUUCCAAUAACGACUAUCCCCCCUGUUGAACCUCACUGUGAUAGCGGUCAAGAGACGGCAGCCGCCCCUGACCCUUCCUCUGUUGAUCCACCCUCAGAGCAAUCGAUUGAUCGUAUUUGUUUGAUGUUUGCUGACGUGACUUCACUGAAAAGCUUUGACUCUCUUACAGGCUGCGGAGAUAUUAUUGCGGACCAUGAGGAGGAUGUGGGCGGCGGGAGUGGCGUCUGCGAGAAGAGCACCCCCGGGCCCAGCAAGCUGGGUGCCACCAAGAAGCACCCCACCAUGGUGGCCUACCAGGGAGGAGGGGAGGAGAUGGCCAGCCCCGACCAGGUGGAUGACACCUGCCUGCAGGAGUUCUGGGAUAUGCUCUCACACACAGACGAGACUCAGACACAAGGAGGAGGAAGCGGAGGAGGGACAAAGAAGCCCGAGGGGUUGAAGGAAACCCGAGGUACCGAGGGGGCCCAGAACAGGGUGGUGGUGAAACGUGGUGGCCACCACCAGAUUGCCAUUCACCUGAACCACAAAGAGGAGCAGAAGAGCAGGGAAAAGGAGCAGCACGAGGGCGUCCCAAACAGUGAUGAGGGCUACUGGGAUUCCACCACCCCUGGUCCCGAGGAAGACAGUUCCACAAGCAUCCAGAAGGAAACCCUUCCCAGGGAUAGCUACAGUGGAGAUGCUCUCUAUGACCUUUAUGCUGAGCCGGAUGAGAACCCACCAGCGGGGCCUACAAACGAGGAAGUCUCCAGUGUGCCACGCUCCAAGCCCGUGUCUCCAAUAACGACCGUGAGCUCACUGAAAACACCCUCAAGCACAGCCAAGGACUCCAAGAUACCCAUCAGCAUUAAACACCUUUCGUCGCAUCCCGCCAGCCAUGGAGCAGAUGCCAGUAACAGCCAUCACAUCGCACACCAUCACCUGGCCAAAAGUGAGAUGCACAGAACAAAAAUCCCCGUCUCCAAAGUCCUGGUACGCCGGGUCAGUAACAGGGGCGUAGCAGGGACAACAGUGAAAACUGCCACGUACCAGGACAGUGCCAAAAAGUAGUUGGGUGAGAGGUGGAGACAAAGACAGAGAACGAAAUCCAUGCGGGAAAGUCUGCAUAGGAGACCACAGAUAAUGAAUUUGUUUUGCAUCACCUGAAGAAAGUCACCUAAAAGGCUUCCUUCACUGUACUCCAUGGGCCUGCACUGCUGAGUCUCUUCUUACUAGACUGUAUGGCCGAAUACAAUAAGUCAACUUCUUUUUGAGCACUUUUUUUUACAUUUAUAUCUUUUUUCUGCAACACUAAACACUGGGGAGGUUCAUUUUUACAUGCCUUUCUGGAAGCAGGACUUGGAUUAUGACCAUCCUUCCUUGUGCAAAGCAGUGUCAUGAGUUCUUCAAGGGAACAGCGUUACAAAAGGAGCGACAUAAGAGGUUCUCCAAUACACUUAUCUUUUAAUCAUUCCUCGGGGAGGAGGAGAGGCCAGGUGCCUGCCUGGCUCUGGAAACGAUGUUUGCUCCAGAAGACGCUGGAAAAAAUGCCAAGCAGAAAACAACCCACCUAACAGUACAUCUCUAUGACUUUCAAGCCCAUCUUACUGCAGAAGUGUUUGCAAUGGGAGUGAUGACCUGGAAAUCCCUCUGUGACCCAUACACUGAAGGUGAAUGCUCCAUUCAAAAUCUACCAAGCAACAAAGAGAAGAUAAUAUUCUUGACUUUGAAUAAUUGGUAAGGAGUGUUGGCAAGUCUAAUGGACGAGUCAACUGACCAUGAGUGAGUACCAGUCUAAUUUUAAAACCUUUCUCUUGAAUCAUGAUAUUUUUCCCUUUCAAAGUCAUUGUACAGGAGUUGUUUACUAGGAGCUCACAUUGAGCAGAUGCCUGCUUCCACCUACCACAUUGCACAUUUGCUUCCAAUUAAAACCAUUCCACAGUGCCCUGAGGGGGAUGGGGAGGAGGCUCCACAGUUCUUCAAAGGGUUAUUUCAGCAGCUAUGGAUGUUCCUAUGGCAGCUGAGGACCAAGAAACUGCUUCAUCUCUAAUGACAUCACUGUUUAUGCUCUGCUAAGACCCUUAACACUUGGAUCAGGUAUUCACUUAGACCUUGGGAACAGAAGGUCUCCUGUUUUGACUAAUGAAGGAGACUUGUCCUCAAUCAUUAUGUGUGUAUUUUCCAGCUUAUGACAAAUGCAAUGAGUCUCUUAAGUACAGCUCCCUGCAGUUACUGAAAGGACUAACAAAUGACCCAUGCUGAUGCUUCGUCCUUAUGCAAAGUCCCUUCACAAAGUGCCUCUGUGCAGCACUCCCAUGUGAGUGCCAGGGGAAAGGUGACCUUGAGCAAAGGGUGCCACCAGAGAGGGGAGGGAGGGUUUGUGCCUUCUGAUGGAGUGCUGUCCUGGACCAGGGAGGUCUGAGUCCUUCCACUGCUUCCUUUCCCAACUUACAGAAGUCUGCAGGUGCCACAUUUUAAAGUCACAUCCACAAAAUCAGCUGCACUCCAUGGUGUUGCUGCUCAGAACCUGUGGUCUGAAGUUUUAUCCUCAAAUUUCACUAUCAUUUAAGUGCUUGCACUGGGCAGGCUCCAGAGCAUCACAUGCCUGGGUCUGCUCUCCCAGGAGUCACAGAUAGGUUCCUCCUCUGGCCUCAUCAGCCUUCUGCUCUUAAGUCCCUUGGAUAGAAAAGAGACUUGAAUAAAGGUUCUCUGGGGUCUUGAAUGAGCAGAGGUUGCUUGGGUAGAAUCAUGGAGGUGAUGGGAGAGGUUGAGGCAGUAAACCUGGGGCAGUCAGAAGCCUUGCAGUCAGCAGUGUCCUCUUUUUCUUCACAGGGAGAUGGAUGCCUCCAGGGCACCAAUGUGGCUCAACAUGCUUCAAGAGCAUAUUCAGUUGUAGGCCAGUGUGAGAACAAAUGCUGCUGAGCUCUUUGCAUGGAGCUGGGAACAUGCAGGGUAACAUGCAGAAUGCAAAGAAAGCAAAAAUCCCAUGACCAAACUGUAUUUUAAGGACAUAAAUUAUGCAUGUCAUGUAAAGCAAAUCUGUUUCAUUCCUGCCCAGCUUCAUUUGUUCACCUGUAAAGACAAAAACACAGCCUAAUUUUGCAAGGACAUACAUUUGAAUAAAUUAAGGCAAAUAUAUCUUAGUAAAUACGAGUACGGAAAAACCUCCUUUUGACUGUGGUUGUGGAGAUACUGAUCACAAUCUAAAGUGGACAUGAAAAAAUUAUCUGCUCUACUAAAAUGAUGUAGAGGAUCAGAAAAACAUUGAAAACAGUCAAAAGGAUUGUUCUGAGUAGUCCUAAAGGAAAAAUAGAGACAGAUAAGGAUUUAGCUAGGUUUGGUCUAUCUUUACAGUUGGGAUGAUUGAAUCUACAUCUGUCUUUCUCUGACUUUCACAUUCUGCACUAAUAGAUUUUGUUUAAUGACAGAUAACAGAUUGCACAAAAAAUGCAGCACUUACAGUGAAGAAAUCACCCCUGCUACUCUUUCUCUUAUAGAUGUCUUUUUUCUCCCCUGUUAACUCAUUAAGUUUUUGAUCCUCCCAAUUAGACCACAUCCAGUCAUUAUCAUAGCAGAUUUAGUGUCUGAUUACGCAGCUGCUGCGUCUAAACAGCUUCAUUCAAAUCAGUAAGAAAUGCUCCUAUGCAGCAACUGCAGAAAUGCAGAAAUGGUGCUUGCAUCCUUUGCUGAGCUGCCUAUUGCUGCUUUCUCAGGGGCUUAACAUAUUUAUGUCUAUCAUCACCACAUGCUGUUAAAUUUCCCUGUGCUUUUCUCCUGGGGUCUGAUAGAAAACACCAUAAAUCCGCAUGUUUUAUGGAAAAACAGUUGGACGAGAUUACAGAGACAAGUUAACUUGUCCAUGCCAGAUCUUAAUUCUUUCUCAAGAUGUAGCAUAUUCAGACCGAUUUAAAAUAAAUGACUGUAUCGGAAAACAAAACAGACAUCAGAGCACAAGCAUAAAGGCAAAUGUCAGCCCCUGGCUCUGAAACGACCGGGGUCCUCAGUCCGAGCUAUGAAACCUUACAUUUCUGCCUCAGCGCAGGCAAACACACAGCACUAUUUAUAGCACAGCCUUUUACUACCCUUCUGGUAGAAUAGGCUUCAUCGGAGGAUUUACAUGACUAACCAAAAGCAAAAGCCUUUUGUCCUUCAUUUCCAUAAGAGAAGGCCAGUGUUAAGCUGGUGUUCAUUGGGCUGAAUUACAGAAAAUAUCAGUUACUAGAAAACCAGUUACUAAUUCAAAGGCAUCUGUUACCAUGGCAUAGGCCUCCUCUUCUCUCUCCAUGCCCCAGAUUUAGCACCAAUGAUGGGAGCUUAGAGAAAGCUCAAAAAGAACAGUUCUUACCUCUGAAAAAAAAAAAAAAA